GCUGUGACUCUCACACUUAGUAUGUGACGCUUUUAUUAGGUGUGAGGGUCACAGC
rnacentral:precursor_RNA from 1 species